UCAAAGCAAGCGGCAAGUUUUAGCAACAAUGCUGUUAUUCCAGUUUAUAUGAGUCACAUGUCCAAAACCUUGUAUAAAUCUGAAGUUUUUCCCAUAAACACUUAUGCCCAGAAAAUAUGGUAAGCUAUGUUAACAAGCCAUAUUAGAUAUCAAGCAUUAAUAUGGAAAUAAACCAGGUAACUCCUGUGUAAUUGAUCUUUGUGGGGACUUGGAGGAGGGGAGGUGAAUCUAAACUAGGUUUAGUGUGUGCUAAACUUAAUUAAUGGUUAACUAAAUUCAUUCAAAGAUAUCUGUAACUUGUGGUCUGAUAGUGCUGGUUUUUGGAUAUGAAUUUGUCAUUAAGACUACCUGGGCUGACUCUCUUUUCGGACUCAGCCCACCUGCACCCAGGUGAAAUAAACAGCUUUAUUGCUCACACAAAGCCUGUUUGGUGGUCUCUUCACAUGGACGCGCAUGAAAUUUGGUGCCGUGACUCGGAUCGGGGGACCUCCCUUGGGAGAUCAAUCCCCUGUCCUCCUGCUCUUUGCUCCGUGAGAAACAUCCACCUAUGGCCUCAGGUCCUCAGACCGACCAGCCCAAGAAACAUCUCACCAAUUUCAAAUCCGGCAUUGGGCUCUCACCAUUGGCCAAGAUUCCCUGCCCCGGUGAGGCCGGAAGCAGUUCAGACACCUGACUUCUGGCAACAUGUGAGCCUGACCCAAGCAGAUCACUGGUGACCAGUAAAUAUUGAAGCUCCAAGAGUAUUUUCCAAAAGAAGAGCAAGGGUUCAAGGCUAGGCUGCUCCAUCUGCACCACAGGCUCCUCAAAG
rnacentral:lncRNA from 1 species